GGCCAAGUGAGAAAUGCAUGAAUUCUAACCCAAAACUCCUGAGUUUCUGCCACAUGAAUUGCUGUUUCAGAAACUAGUUAUGAAUCAUUUGCAGCCCGACAUCAACUGAAAGACCAGUUAACUUAGUCCUUUAUCUGGAGUCUCCCAAUUCUAAUGUUUUCUUUUCUUUUUUUUUUUAAGAUUUUAUUUAUUUAUUUAUAGAGACACAGAGAGAGAAUGAGAGGCAGAGACACGGCAGAGGGAGAAGCAGGCUCCAUGCAGGGAGCCCAACGUGGGACUCGAUCCAGAGUCUCCAGGAUCACUCCCCGGGCUGCAGGAAGCGCUAAACCACUGCAUCACCGGGGCUGCCCUGGAGUCUCCCAAUUCUAAAUCAAUAAUUUAUGAGAUCCGCAUGCAACUAAGUUAUGUGAACCUGAUGCUCUGCCUCACAGCAAAGCCUUCACAGUGUUCUCAUUUAAGCUUUGGAGGUGUUGACUCCAUGGAUCUGGGUGGAACAGGAUUCUCAGACUUCAGGCAGCCCCUCAUUCUCCAGGACUUCGCAGGAGGCUUCCUGAUUUCAGCUGGAUUUGAACCAGGAGGCUGGAGAAGCUGGGAGCUGCCCUGGAUCCUAAGGAUGAAGCUUGCACAGAGAAAGGAACGAGGAGAUGGCUAACUUCCCUUCUGGCCCCGGGACUCUACAAAUGUCUCAGAGUUCUUCCUGGAAGCCUAUAGAACAGUUGCUAAAACUUGUGGAGCACGACUAUGCACCUGGCAUGGUGCUCAACAUUUUAUAUACAUUGGCCCCAGAAAUGCUCAGCACCACCCUGGGAUGCAUGCAG
rnacentral:lncRNA from 1 species